rnacentral:rRNA from 1 species
UGGGGAAUAUUGGGCAAUGGGCGAAAGCCUGACCCAGCGACGCCGCGUGGGUGAUGAAGGCCUUCGGGUCGUAAAGCCCUGUCAGAAGGAAAGAACGAUCUUAUGGUGAAUACCCAUGAGAUGUGACGGUACCUUCGAAGGAAGCACCGGCCAAUUCCGUGCCAGCAGCCGCGGUAAGACGGAAGGUGCAAGCGUUGCUCGGAAUCACUGGGCGUAAAGGGUGCGUAGGCGGCUUCUUAAGUCUGGUGUGAAAGCCCAGGGCUCAGCUCUGGAAGUGCACUAGAUACUGGGAAGCUUGAGUAUCGGAGGGGAGAGUGGAAUUCCUGGUGUAGCGGUGAAAUGCGUAGAUAUCAGGAGGAAUACCGGUGGCGAAAGCGACUCUCUGGACGAUUACUGACGCUGAGGCACGAAAGCGUGGGGAGCAAACAGGAUUAGAUACCCCCGUAGUCCCUGAGCGGGCUGGCAAGGCGCAU